UAAAACAUUUUUUUUUUUUAUCCGGUAUAUGAAUGAUGCAAAGCAAGAAUGAUUUCACAGAUUUCAACUUAAGCGUGCAAUUUCUUUGGACAGAAUGAACUUACAUGAACUAAAUUCAGCAUAAGGAAAUAAUCAAAACAACUACA